rnacentral:lncRNA from 1 species
CCGACUUUCAUUUUCCGCAGCAAAGGGUCCCAGCUGCACGGCUGGCUCCCUAGUGACACGGACUGGCACCCAGGCCCCCCACCCCCAGCUAAGGUUCUGCUCGCAAGGAUGGCCUCGGCUUCUCAGUCCUUGCCCCAGGGGACACCGCCUCCUCCCAGCCCCUCUGCUGUCCAGGCCAGAGCCCUGCCUCCAUCCUGUGCACGUUCCCUGCUUCCUUGGGCUCCUGUAGCCCUGGUCUAGGCAUCCUCUGUCCGGGGCACUGAUGCUGGGGCAUCCAGAGAGAGGGGGGGAGGGGUUCUGUUUUGGCCCAGUUCUGACCUCACUUUCCUUUUAGGGGCAAAGAGCAAGGUGCAGGGACUUAAGGCGCCAUCAGCACACAGCCUCGGAGGAGGAGCUGGGAGUGGACCCCAGGGAACCCACUCUGGUGCCCCACGUCCACCCCCACUCACUCAGCCUCUGCUAAGCCCCGCCGCCCCUUUUCCAGACCCCCGCUGCCGCCCAACCUGCGGCCUCCAGUCUACCCCUUUCAGAAGCCACAUCUGGACCAUCUCCCGCCCCUCUGCUGAACCAUCAGCGGCUCCGCUGCGCUUCCUGGUGACGUGCUGGCUCCUAGCGCCCUCCCAGUGGUGACUGGCCAGGCCACGAGCCAGCUGGGCUUGGUGCCUCCUCCCGGCCCUGCGUCCAGAGUGAGGGGGGCAGCAGUUCCCCAUGAGUCGCCAGGAGACCCCUCACAUGCUCUGGGUCCCACCUGGGCAGUCCAGCAGAGCCCCGCCCAGGGCUGAGUCCUUCCCCUGGAGACCCCUAGGCCCCUGGAAACCAGAGCUGGUGAGCGGGUGGGCAGCCUGUGAAAAGCUCCCUGCCGCGCAGGCGCGCACCGGCCCUGCUGGGCACCCCCGGCCCUCUCCUCCCCAAGCAGGUCCCCUUCCAGGGAGCAACGAGCCGACCAGCUGCCUCCUGGCAGGACCCUCAGCCUCGACAAUCCCUUAUUUGUCUCUGGAUUUGGACCCGGCUUUGUGACCCAGAGCCUAGGCCCCAGGGCCUGACCAUGAACCAGAGCCUCCCAGUGGCCGGGAGAGGGGAUGUGGCCACACUCUCCAGGUGACAGCGCUCCAGGAUGGACCCCAGAGCCCCCUGGCCUGACUCUGCCGAGGAUCAGGGUCUGCACAGGGGGUUCCUGGGAGAUCGGGCCCCAGGGAGGGUCUUCCUCAGAGCAGGGCAGGUGUCUGUGGAUGAGGAGACAGCUUUCCGCCUGGACGCUGAGGCUUCCCUGAGGGUAGGGGUCGUAGCUACGGUCCCCACGGCAAGUCUCCCCCACGGCAUGUCUCCCCCUCCUCAGGCUCAGUGUCCAGAGCCUGACAACGCCCCUGCCUCCUCACCAGCCCUCCAGGAUUAGAAUGGACCCUGGUGAUGGUCAGCCAUGACCUGCAUCCUGUCCCCCGUCAGCCACUCAACUCUAAAGCUCAGGGUCCCCAGAAGGAUCAGCCCUGGACGAAGCCCCAGCGAUGCAUCCUCGCCUCUUGCCUCCGGUCUUCUCCUCCUGACGUGGAGCGUGGCCGCCCUGCUCUCCUGGGCAGAUGGCACGCAGGAUUCCGGCACUCAUGUCUGAGUUUCCUCAGCCGUACGAAGGUCCUUAAAAUAACCCCCGCUCCCUAGGUCAGUUGUUGUUUAGUUGGUAAGAUGUGUCAGACUCUUUCAAUCCCAUGGCCUGUAGCCCACCAGGCUCCUCUGUCCAUUGGAUUCUCCAGGCAAGAGUACUGGAGUGGGUUUCUGUGCCCUCCUCCAAGGGAUCUUCCCCAUCCAGGAAUCGAACCCGUGUCUCCCACAUGAGCAGGCGGAUUCUUUACCACUCAGCCACCUGGGAAGCUCCUAAGCUUUUAGGACCAGAAGGACAACAUGUAUGGGAACCUCCACCCAGGGAGGUGCAGGAUCCUGAGGACUUUAAUAAUUGUUAACAGGAUUGACUUGCCGUCCCUCUGCAUGCCUGUUCCUUCCCCUCUGCCUCCCUGC